AUUGAACGCUGGCGGCAGGCCUAACACAUGCAAGUCGAGCGGAUGGAGGGAGCUUGCUCCUGGAUUCAGCGGCGGACGGGUGAGUAAUGCCUAGGAAUCUGCCUGGUAGUGGGGGAUAACGUCCGGAAACGGGCGCUAAUACCGCAUACGUCCUGAGGGAGAAAGUGGGGGAUCUUCGGACCUCACGCUAUCAGAUGAGCCUAGGUCGGAUUAGCUAGUUGGUGGGGUAAAGGCCUACCAAGGCGACGAUCCGUAACUGGUCUGAGAGGAUGAUCAGUCACACUGGAACUGAGACACGGUCCAGACUCCUACGGGAGGCAGCAGUGGGGAAUAUUGGACAAUGGGCGAGAGCCUGAUCCAGCCAUGCCGCGUGUGUGAAGAAGGUCUUCGGAUUGUAAAGCACUUUAAGUUGGGAGGAAGGGCAGUAAGUUAAUACCUUGCUGUUUUGACGUUACCAACAGAAUAAGCACCGGCUAACUUCGUG
rnacentral:rRNA from 1 species